GGGACGAGGCCACUCGGGUGAACAGCCUAGAGGGUGACGGUACCUCCAGAGGAAGCCCCGGCUAACUACGUGCCAGCAGCCGCGGUAAUACGUAGGGGGCUAGCGUUGUCCGGAAUUAUUGGGCGUAAAGCGCGUGUAGGCGGCUUGGCAAGUCCGAUGUGAAAGCUCGGGGCUCAACCCCGAGUCUGCAUUGGAAACUGCCUUGCUUGAGUCCGGAAGAGGAGACUGGAAUUCCUGGUGUAGCGGUGAAAUGCGCAGAUAUCAGGAAGAACACCGGUGGCGAAGGCGGGUCUCUGGGACGGUACUGACGCUGAGACGCGAAAGCGUGGGGAGCAAACAGGAUUAGAUACCCUGGUAGUCCACGCCGUAAACGAUGGGCAUCA
rnacentral:rRNA from 1 species